rnacentral:rRNA from 1 species
UGGGGAAUCUUGGACAAUGGGGGCAACCCUGAUCCAGCCAUGCCGCGUGAGUGAUGAAGGCCUUAGGGUCGUAAAGCUCUUUCGCCUGUGAAGAUAAUGACGGUAGCAGGUAAAGAAACCCCGGCUAACUCCGUGCCAGCAGCCGCGGUAAUACGGAGGGGGUUAGCGUUGUUCGGAAUUACUGGGCGUAAAGCGCACGUAGGCGGACCAGAAAGUUGGGGGUGAAAUCCCGGGGGCUCAACCCCGGAACUGCCUCCAAAACUAUUGGUCUAGAGUUCGAGAGAGGUGAGUGGAAUUCCAAGUGUAGAGGUGAAAUUCGUAGAUAUUUGGAGGAACACCAGUGGCGAAAGGCGGCUCACUGGCUCGAUACUGACGCUGAGGGUGCGAAAAGUGUGGGGAGCAAAACAGGAUUAGAUACCCCUGGUAGUCCACACCGUAAAACGAUGAAAUGCCAGUCGUCGGGGUAGCAUGCUAUUCGGUGACACACCU